AGCAGCAUGGUGUAUUGUGCACACGGGGCUUCCUUAAUCCUGUCGACAAGUGUUGAUCCCGAGGUCCUUGUUCGAAUCAAGGUGCUGCUC